rnacentral:rRNA from 1 species
UACGGGGGGUGCGAGCGUUAAUCGGAAUUACUGGGCGUAAAGGGCACGCAGGCGGACUGUCAAGUGAGGUGUGAAAUCCCCGGGCUUAACCUGGGAAUUGCAUUUCAUACUGGGAGACUAGAGUACUGUAGGGAGGGGUAGAAUUCCACGUGUAGCGGUGAAAUGCGUAGAGAUGUGGAGGAAUACCGAAGGCGAAGGCGGCCCCUUGGACAUGGACUGACGCUCAUGUGCGAAAGCGUGGGGAGCAAACAGG